UGCAAGUCGAGCGCGGGAAGCGAGCUGAUCCCUUCGGGGUGACGCUCGUGGAACGAGCGGCGGACGGGUGAGUAACACGUGGGCAACCUGCCUGUAAGAUCGGGAUAACUCCGGGAAACCGGGGCUAAUACCGGGUAAUACUUUCUUUCGCAUGAAGGAAAGUUGAAAGAUGGCUUCUCGCUAUCACUUACAGAUGGGCCCGCGGCGCAUUAGCUAGUUGGUGAGGUAACGGCUCACCAAGGCGACGAUGCGUAGCCGACCUGAGAGGGUGAUCGGCCACACUGGGACUGAGACACGGCCCAGACUCCUACGGGAGGCAGCAGUAGGGAAUCUUCCGCAAUGGACGAAAGUCUGACGGAGCAACGCCGCGUGAACGAUGAAGGUCUUCGGAUCGUAAAGUUCUGUUGUUAGGGAAGAACAAGUACCGUGCGAAUAGAGCGGUACCUUGACGGUACCUAACGAGGAAGCCCCGGCUAACUACGUGCCAGCAGCCGCGGUAAUACGUAGGGGGCAAGCGUUGUCCGGAAUUAUUGGGCGUAAAGCGCGCGCAGGCGGUUCCUUAAGUCUGAUGUGAAAGCCCACGGCUCAACCGUGGAGGGUCAUUGGAAACUGGGGAACUUGAGGACAGAAGAGGAGAGUGGAAUUCCACGUGUAGCGGUGAAAUGCGUAGAUAUGUGGAGGAACACCAGUGGCGAAGGCGACUCUCUGGUCUGUUUCUGACGCUGAGGUGCGAAAGCGUGGGUAGCAAACAGGAUUAGAUACCCUGGUAGUCCACGCCGUAAACGAUGAGUGCUAGGUGUUAGGGGGCUUCCACCCCUUAGUGCUGAAGUUAACGCAUUAAGCACUCCGC
rnacentral:rRNA from 1 species